rnacentral:rRNA from 1 species
UGCGUCUGCACGCACUCUGAUGCAGCGAUGCCGCGUGAGUGAGAAGGCCUUUGGGUUGUAAAGCUCUUUUGUAGGGGAAGAUAAUGACUGUACCCUAAGAAUAAGGUCCGGCUAACUUCGUGCCAGCAGCCGCGGUAAUACCC